AAUCCAUUAACUGUUAAUUGAUUAUACCUUACUUCCUGGAUAAACGUGGUAAUUUCUGAAGUUAUUCCAGGUGAAAAUCCCGAACUUCGGAGGGAUGUGUUUUUUUAAUAAAAAACCCAUGGCCUUCGGGGCUUCUUGGUGGAUCCUGAUAACCUUACCGAACCCAAAGCCCUGGGCCGGCCAAGGUUCCUUCCAAAUUCUGCCCUAUCCACUUUCCAUGGGAAGGGAUUGGCAUACCCUGGUUUCAACGGGGAACGGGGAAAUUAGGUUCCAUUCCCGAAAGGGGACCUGAAAAACGGCUACCACAUCCCAGGAAAGGCACAGGGCCGCCAAUUUCCCCAUCCCCAACCCGGGAAGGAG
rnacentral:rRNA from 1 species